AUUGAACGCUGGCGGCAGGCCUAACACAUGCAAGUCGAGCGGAGCGGCGGACGGGUGAGUAAUGCCAAGGAAUCUGCCUGGGAGUGGGGGAUAACGUCAGGAAACGGGAGCUAAUACCGCAUACUAGCAGAUGAGCCUAGGUCGGAUGUGCUAGUGGGUGGGGUAAAGGCCUACCAAGGUGACGAUCCGUAACUGGUCUGAGAGGAUGAUCAGUCACACUGGGACUGAGACACGGCCCAGACUCCUACGGGAGGCAGCAGUGGGGAAUAUUGGACAAUGGGCGAAAGCCUGAUGCAGCCAUGCCGCGUGUAUGAAGAAGGUCUUCGGAUUGUAAAGCACUUUAAGUUGGGAGGCGUUACCGACAGAAGAAGCACCGGCUAACUUCGUGCCAGCAGCCGCGGUAAUAC
rnacentral:rRNA from 1 species